AUGCUCUAAUGAUGGAUUAAUUAGGAUCAUUAGAUUCGUCUCGUGGUUUACAGACGAGUUCUGUAAUUAGUUUUGUGAUUAAUCUAUAUUUAAUGCUUCAAAUGUGCAAAGAUUCUAUUUUUACAAUUUUACACGGGCAACUAAACGAGGCCAAGUAGAUAACUGAAAAGUCAAAGUAAGAUGGGCAUGCUUAAGUUUUACUCAUAAAUGAUAAUGGCAAAGAUGUAGGGAAAACAAACUCAUUGAGGCCUAGUUUGGAAGCCCGAAUCCCCGCAGGGAUCCUCGUCGAUUCCCGGGGUCGGCAGCCCACGCAGAAUUUUUCCACGCGAAGCCCAUCAUGCGCUUUUGGAAGCCUUGUGUGUGGGGUUUUUUUGGCCCGGGUAAGCCCAAUUUCCCCGUGGAAGCUGGCCCGGCCUCUAGACAACGGGCGGCGCCCCCCCUCCCUCGUCUCACUCGCGAGUCAUGCGACUCCGCGAGGAGAACGCCGCCGCCGCCUGGAUCUCCUCCUCCGACCUGCUUCUCCCUCCGAUGUUCCUGCAGCCAACUCCUCCUUCGCAUCAGAUCCUGCAAAAAAUCGCGGUCGGGGGAGCCCUACGGCGGCUGUGAGGGACCCGACGUUGAGCUCCGAGGCCACUUCGUCGGCAAGGAAGAAUGCUGCUAUAUUCGACAAGUAACAAGGAUGAAUGAUGAAUCAGAAAUCUCAACUCC